rnacentral:tRNA from 1 species
UAGAUGGAUGCUCACUGGUUUAAGCACUUAGCUGUUAACUAAGAGUUUGUAGGAUCGAGGCCUACCCACCUAG